rnacentral:rRNA from 1 species
UGGGGAAUUUUGCGCAAUGGGCUAACGCCUGACGCAGCAACGCCGCGUGGAGGAUGAAGGUCUUUGGAUUGUAAACUCCUGUCAGCAGGGAAAAAGCGACCUGACCUCAUACGUCAGGGAGUUGAUUGUACCUGCAGAGGAAGCCCCGGCUAACUCUGUGCCAGCAGCCGCGGUAAUACAGAGGGGGCAAGCGUUAUUCGGAAUUAUUGGGCGUAAAGGGCGCGUAGGCGGCCAGUCAAGUGGAAGGUGAAAUCCCUCGGCUUAACCGAGGAACUGCCUUCCAGACUGUUUGGCUUGAGACCAGGAGAGGUGAGUGGAAUUCCCAGUGUAGCGGUGAAAUGCGUAGAUAUUGGGAGGAACACCAGUGGCGAAGGCGGCUCACUGGACUGGUACUGACGCUGAGGCGCGAAAGCGUGGGGAGCAAA